UACAGAGGGGGCAAGCGUUGUUCGGAAUUACUGGGCGUAAAGGCGCGUAGGCGGCCUUCUAAGUCGAACGUGAAAUCCCCGGGCUCAACCCGGGAACUGCGUCCGAUACUGGAAGGCUUGAAUCCGGGAGAGGGAUGCGAAUUCCAGGUGUAGCGGUGAAAUGCGUAGAUAUCUGGAGGAACACCGGUGGCGAAGGCGGCAUCCUGGACCGGCAUUGACGCUGAGCGCGAAAGCCAGGGAGCAAAGCGGG
rnacentral:rRNA from 1 species